GUGGGGAAUAUUGCGCAAUGGCCGAAAGGCUGACGCAGCGACGCCGCGUGUGGGAGGAAGCCCUUCGGGGUGUAAACCACUGUCGGGGGGGACGAAUCCCGGACGGGCAAAUAGCCCGGACGGUUGACGGUACCUCCAGAGGAAGCACCGGCUAACUCCGUGCCAGCAGCCGCGGUAAGACGGAGGGUGCAAGCGUUGUUCGGAAUUACUGGGCGUAAAGCGCGGGCAGGUGGCCUUUUAAGUCCUUUGUGAAAUUUCGGAGCUCAACUCCGGACAUGCAUAGGAUACUGGAAGGCUAGAGACUGGUAGAGGCGAGCGGAAUUCCUGGUGUAGCGGUGGAAUGCGUAGAUAUCAGGAAGAACACCGGUGGCGAAGGCGGCUCGCUGGGCCAGUUCUGACACUCAUCCGCGAAAGCGUGGGGAGCAAACAGGAUUAGAAACCCUUGUAGUCC
rnacentral:rRNA from 1 species